rnacentral:sRNA from 1 species
CCCUAGCCCCGAUUGCAGCAUUUGUUUGAGCUCAUUUUCGGGUUUUUAGGGCGGCGGCGAAGCCGCCGCCCUAAAAACCCGAAAAUAGCGAGUGCGGAAAGCGGGAAUAGCU